AUUGAUUACGUGACACACAUAUAGCCCUCAUUAUAUCCAAUAAUAUGAUAUCAUAUGGAUGAAAUAAAAAAUACAUAUUUAAAAAAAUAAUUUAAAAACAAAAAAUAUAUUCACCACCUCUUCCAUCACACACCAAUCCUUCACCCCUAGCUGCUGCCCCUCCGCUGCCUCCACCUCUCCAUAAUUUUUUUUAGGUCAAAUUGUAGCAAUGGUCCCUGGACUAAGACCAAACUUUAUUUUUCGUCAUUUAUAUUGCUAAAUUGUUACGGUGGUACUUUAACUAUGCCUCUACUUUUAGAAAUCGUCAUUUCCGUCAUCUUAGUCAACUUGUUCGUUAAAAAUAAGGGCAUAUUUGUUCUUUUCAUUAAUUUUAAAUUGAUUAAAAUGUUUAUUAAAAAAAAAAAAAACUCUCUCUCUCUCUCUCUGUCC
rnacentral:lncRNA from 1 species